UUAUUUCUUUUAUUCUACUUUAGUUUUAAUACGCAAUCACACUCGGAGAUACGAUCUCGAAAAAUUUUAAUUUCCACUAGUAUAACCUAUUCACCCCCCUCUAGGUUAUUUCAGUGGUGAGGCAGUGGUCUGACUCUGAUAGUCCCUUGGUUCUUGCUUCCCCCCUCCAUUAAUGCAUAGCCCCAAUACCAUCUCAAAGGAGGAUUUCGAGGCUGCCGUGAUUGCGAUGUGGCAAAAUGACUUUGUAGAUUCAACACUCGACUACAGAGAGUUUCUUUAACGGGAGACAAUGUACUUACCCUUGACUAUUAAGGGUCCUCAGUAUGAUUGGCCGAUUCCCUUCUCUGUCUUCCAUAUUCCUUGAUCUGCUGGUGCUUUUAUGGAGGGCUUGACUCACGUGAGCAUGGGGCUGGUUCACAACAUAUCUGAGGGGCCCUCUUCCAUCUUUGGCUUCCCGAGGUGGACGUACACGGAUGCUCAUGAUCCCUUAGUGCAGAUGAUCCUACUGAGGACUCCGAUGGCUAAUGAGGGCAUGGGCCUCCCCAUCACCUAUGAUUUUGUCUCUCCUACUAUCUACGCCGAGUCCCGCCGGAUGAUCUAGAGUUUCAACGUGUGUCUGUAUUGUCACACAGAGCUUAUUUGAGACCAAGUAUACGUUGAAACCUUGCUUUUCCAUUUCUUGGGGACCUUGAUGAGCUUUUAUUGGCAUCUCUUAUUCUUCGUUCGGAGAUUUCCAACCUUCAGCGCUAGGUUGGAGCAGCUUAACCCCUGGUCUGGAGGUGGAGGAUCGAACAUGGGCCCCACAUUUGCUGUUGAUGACCUUGACCUGUUUGGAGGUGAUGAUGGACUGUCAUAGGACCAUGAUCUUUUUUGUUUAUUUUUUAA